GACGAACGCUGGCGGCGUGCUUAACACAUGCAAGUCGAGCGGUAAGGCCCUUUCGGGGGUACGACGAGCGGCGAACGGGUGAGUAACACGUGGGUGACCUGCCCUUAGCUCUGGGAUAAGCCUGGGAAACUGGGUCUAAUACCGGAUAUGACUCCAUGACGCAUGUUGUGGGGUGGAAAGCCUUGUGCGGCUAGGGAUGGGCCCGCGGCCUAUCAGCUUGUUGGUGGGGUGAUGGCCACCAAGGCGACGACGGGUAGCCGGCCUGAGAGGGCGACCGGCCACACUGGGGACUGAGACACGGCCCAGACUCCUACGGGAGGCAGCAGUGGGGAAUCUUGCGCAAUGGGCGAAAGCCUGACGCAGCGACGCCGCGUGGGGA
rnacentral:rRNA from 1 species